rnacentral:misc_RNA from 1 species
GAUGAAGAACGCAGCGAAAUGCGAUAAGUAGUGUGAAUUGCAGAAUUCAGUGAAUCAUCGAAUCUUUGAACGCACAUUGCGCCCCUUGGUAUUCCAUGGGGCAUGCCUGUUCGAGCGUCAUUUGUACCCUCAAGCUUUGCUUGGUGUUGGGGAUCGGCCGUUAAACGCCGCCCCCGAAAUCUAUUGGCGAUCUCGCUGUAGCUUCCUAUGCGUAGUAGUAACAUCUCGCAUCUGGAGAGCGGCGCGGUCAUGCCGUAAAACACCCAACUUCUCAGGUUGACCUCAGAUCAGGUAGGAAUACCCGCUGAACUUAAGCAUAUCAAUAAGCGGAGGA